AGUGAACGCUGGCGGUAGGCUUAACACAUGCAAGUCGAACGGCAGCACAGUAAGAGCUUGCUCUUACGGGUGGCGAGUGGAGGACGGGUGAGGAAUACAUCGGAAUCUAGUUUUUAGUGGGGGGUAACGUAGGGAAACAUACGCUAAUACCGCAUACGAAAUACGGGUGAAAGCAGGGGAUCUUCGGACCUUGCGCGAUUGAAUGAGCCGAUGUCGGAUUAGCUAGUUGGGGGGGUAAAGGCCCACCAAGGCGACGAUCCGUAGCUGGUCUGAGGGGAUGAUCAGCCACACUGGAACUGAGACACGGCCCAGACUCCUACAGGAGGCAGCAGUGGGGAAUAUUGGACAAUGGGCGCAAGCCUGAUCCAGCCAUACCGCGUGGUUGAAGAAGGCCUUCGGGUUGUAAAGCCCUUUUGUUGGGAAAGAAAAGCAGCAGGUUAAUACCCCGCUGUUCUGACGGUACCCAAAUAAUAAGCACCGGCUAACUUCGUG
rnacentral:rRNA from 1 species